CCUACGUGUAGCAGCAGUGAGGAAUAUUGGUCAAUGGACGAGAGUCUGAACCAGCCAAGUAGCGUGAAGGAUGCCUGCCCUAUGUGUUGUAAACUUCUUUUAUAAAGGAAUAAAACGCGGCACGUGUGCCUUUUUGCAUGUACUUUAUGACUCAUGAUCGGCUAACUCCGUGCCAGCAGCCUCGGUAAUACGGAGGAUCCGAGCUUUAUCCGGAUUUAUUGGGUUUAAAGGGUGCGUAGAUGGGUUGUUAAGUCAGUUGUGAAAGUUUGCGGCUCAACCGUAAAAUUGCAAUUGAUACUGGCAGUGUUGAGUACAGUUGAGGUAGGCGGAAUUCGUGGGGUAGCGGUGAAAUGCUUAGAUAUCACGAAGAACCCCGAUUGCGAAGGCAGAUUACUAAACUGUGACUGACAUUGAUGCUCGAAAGUGUGGGUAUCAAACAGGAUUAGAUACCCUUGUAGUC
rnacentral:rRNA from 1 species